ACCCAAAAGUCAGACCCACGUGUGCACCAAAUAAUUUUUUUCAUAUUGGUUACUUUAUUCAAUUAGCGUGAAUUCAGUUAGCGCGACCGCGUUCAUCCACCUAAUUCUUGCGCUAAAUGGGGCUCUACUGUACCUUAUUUUGCGGCGUAUAAAGCACACUUUUUAACUCAGAAAAAAUUUACUCCUGCAUGGUAUACACCGAAGGUACACAUUUUGAGUGAUUUAAAUAGUAAAUAAUGUGAUGCAAUGGAAAAGGAAAGUGUGAAUAAGCAGAAGAUGGGAGGAGGACAUGUGAAGUGAUAAAACUGUACAGGUCACAGGAAGUAGAAGACAUGCCACGUGUGAUGCGGCGUAAACACAAAACACAACACCGCCGCGGUGCACCAGUCACCAGUGUGCCGGGUGCCUUGGGGGUGAUGGUUAAGCGGCUAUUACACAAGUACAGUUUUGGUGGAGCAGGGUGCUGCCUGACCUGACUGCUUGGCAACCAUGGGGUGGAGUUGGGCGGAUUAGUAUGGGGGUAUUUCUGCUGUGCAGCAGCCCAGUCAGCUGAUGUUUUCUGUGAUACAUGUUUGAAAGAACGGAUAUCUGUGGAUGACUGAAGUGUUUAUUGUAAAAGCAGUUUUGUUUCUCAUUGUAAAAAUAACUAUAUUAAACCAAUAUGAUUGACAAACUAAUCAACAUCUAUUUCUUAUUGAAAUUAGGUAUAUGGUCCCUGAAAGUCAAGAUCAAGACCAAUUGCUUGCCCAUCGAACGUAGCAUCCCUGUGUGAUUAUUUCCCUCAGUAGCUCGGUGAAAGUUACCGCCUGCACACAGCGCAGUGAGUUAAUCUACAAACCAACCCUGUUGUUUACCAUUUCAAAGUCACAGCUACUCAGGGUAAGAGCACAGUAACUCGUCAAAGCAACAUAUGCUAUAACAGUAAUAAUUGUGAGUAAGGUGGUCAUAUGUAAUACUGCAUAUACAUUAAGUUCAGGGAUUUAUUUAUUUUUUAUUUUUUUAUUUUAUUUAUUUAUUUUUUUAUUUUUUUAUUAUUUUUUUUUUCUAUACCUUGUCAAAUUAUUGGUGCGUCAUAUGGCGGGAAAUACAUCCUAUUUAGUGUUUUCGUUAGUUGUCUUUUCAUCAUGGCUCACACCACAGUAAUAGAACAACAUACAGUAAAAGAUUGGUGUACGUGUGUGAGUGAGGGAGGUGUGGGUAGGCUAUUCUUCUGUAGCACUUUUGUAUUUAUAUUUAGUGUUUUUGUUCGUCAUUUUUAUAUUCAUCAUAACUCAUACCACUUUGAGGGAACAACACACAAGAAAAGAUUGGCAUUCAUGUGUGGGUGAAGUAGGUACGUUAGGUUAAUCUUGUCUGUCACUCAUAUUUAUUUAUAUUUAACAUUUAUAUAUUUUUUUAUAUUUAUCAUUGUUCACACCACAUUAAGGGAAGGUGUGGUUAGGUUAAUCUUGUAUGUCACUCUUUUAUAAUUAUGUGUAGUGUUUGGGUUGCUGUUUUUUUUCUUGUUACUAUAUCUUGCACCACAUUGGGGGAACAAAAUGCAGUGUAGUUUUGUUGAAUCUCAUCUGUAACCCUUCUAUCCUUGUGUUCUAGUCAGUGGUUCAUCCUCUACACCACACAGAGGAAUAGCAAACACUUUUAAUGGGUGAUAUUCAUGCAAGGGAAGGAGUAGGUGGGAUUUUGUUAAGUCUGAUUUGUCACUCUUUAAUAGCUAUGUUCUAGUCAGUGGGUCAUCCUUUACACCACACAGAGGAGCAGCAUACACUCAUUGGAAGGGUAGGAGGAGGUGCAGUUUUGUUAAGUCUGAUUUGUCACUCUCUAGUCUUAUGUUCUAGUCAGUGGGUCAUCCUUUACACCACACAGAGGAGCAGCAUACACUCAUUGGAAGGGUAGGAGGAGGUGUGGUUCUCAAAUCUCAUCUAUCACAUUUCUUUAGUUAUGUUCCAGUGUUAACUCAUCAUUUUAGGUUGGCAUUCUUGGUUUGCCAAUAGAGGAAAGAAAGAUAUAUCCAAAGAAAUUCUGGGAAAUAGGGUAAAGAGAAAUAGAAAUUCAGCGAUGGCAAAAACAGUUGACGUAGGUGUUGUCUCACUCACUAGCGUAGAUGUAUCUGAGGCCAAAGACAUAUGGAGUAGGGUAUCUGGUUCCUUUCUCUGCUGCUUCAUCCUCCCCAGCUAUGGUUAGGCUUGGUUAAGUUAGCCAUGGUUAACCAGGUACACAUUGAGGCUGGGUGAGUCUAGGGGCUGGACCCAGAAAAACCUGUGUGUGUGUGUGUGUGUGUGUGUGUGUGUGUGUGUUAACCCGGUAGCAGCGACGGGCCAAAUUUGUGGCUUUACCAUGUAGCAGCGACGGGCCAAAUUUGUGCCAUGAUUUAAACCCCACAAAAUAGAUGAUACAUAAACUGAUCAGAAAUGCUUUGAUAUAUAUUAUGAAAUGGUUUGUGUGAGUGAUGAUUUUUUCUCAUUUUCUCGCUUAGAGGGACCAUUAAGUAACAUGAUUCCCGCUGCUAUCGGGUUAAACUCGACUUACAAGCAUCAUAGUCAGACAUGCUGCCACACACCACAUGAAGUGACAGGAAAUGAUAACAAAUUAAUAAUCUGUAUGUUGGUACAGCGUAAAGGUCUGCUCUUAUUGAUUCUUUCUCUUGUAUUGAGCUUCAGACACCCUAAAAGAGAUGCUGAUAAACUUCUUAAUGUCAGUCUGCGAGAAAAAAAAUCAUUAAUAAUCACAACAAUGGCACCAGUAUAGUAGAGUGAUACAUAACCCACCACUUUGUCUGCUCUGAUCGGAUAAUAUUUAAGUGGGUGGUAAUUUUGUAGGAGUAAGUGUGAUCUGUCGGCUCCUACUUGUUGCCCUUGUGUAGUGAGAGGAAUCAUCACACGAACAUGUCGGUGCAGUGUAAAGGUCUGUUCUUAUUGAUUCUUUCACUUAUUUUGAGCUUAAGACACCCUAAAAGAGAUGCUGAUAGACUUCUUAAUGUCAGUAUUCUUAAAACUACUAAAUACUUUACAGGCGAGAGAAAAAAUCAAAACAGUGUAGCAAAAAGACAAAAAAGAUAACCCAUGUGUAAUCUGAAUGUUUCUAUGCAACGGAAACACUGACAGACCAAGUCCUGUUGAGUGAUGCUGUUGUUAGAAAUGAGAAAUAAAAAUCAAUUGUUAAAUCAAAGAAAUAGGGAUGAGCUAGUGUAUUCAGGCAGCCACUGAUGUGUCUUAGAAGGGAGUGGUGAAUGAGAGGAAGGAUUUUGGAGCAUUCAGGCACUCAAUAAUAUGUCUUAAAAGGAAAUAGAUGAAGGAAAGGGAGUUUUGUAUAAUCAGACAGUCAAUUAUAUGUCUUGACUGCAUAUUUCCUGCAAGACAUCACCAAACUACAGAAAUGGAACAAAAAGUGGGUGCUGCAAUUUGAUGAACCAAAAUGUAAAGUACUGCACUUUGGGAGGGGAUAUCCAGCAUACCAAUACCACAUGGGAAACACUCCACUAUCCACCACAGAGGCAGAGAAAGACCUGGGACUAUAUAUUACCUGAAUACCAGUGAAACCCAAAUCUGUUCCAAUCACAGCGGACGAGUUAAAGGAAAUGAACAAUGGAAAGAGUCAAAUUAGUGAUGUGUAGUAGGAGGGACUGGGUGAAGUAAAGAUGUAGUUUUGGGCAUUCAAGCUGUUAGUGGUGUGUACGUGUGUUAGAGGGGAAUGGGCAAAGGAAAGGGGAGGAGCUUGGGUAUUCAGGCAGCCAAUCAUGUGCCACAGAAGGAAAGGGGGAGGAGUUAGAGCAUUCAGGCAGCCAAUCGUGUGCCUCAGAAGGAAAGGGGGAGAAGUUUAGUUAUGCAGCAGCCAAUCAUGUGCCUCAGAAACGCAUGAAUACCAGAAGGAGGCGGAGCUUACUUACCAAGCUCGUAUGAACAGAAUGAGUUUCAUGUUUUGUUAAGUUAACCUUUUGAAAAGAACCAAAGAAAUUAAGCAAAUUGUGAUAAUGCUAGUCAGAAACUUUUCCUAAUUAGUAUAAAAUUUCUAUUGUAGUUUAUUCGUGUGUUACCAAGUAGAAAGGAUGGGACGUUGACUUAUUAUUUUCACUAAUUGUUGAUGUCACUUUUCAUCUUCUUCUUCUCUUAAUUUCUUCUUCUUUAUUUUCUUCUUCUUCCCCCUCUUCUUCUUCAUUUUCUUCUUCUCUUUCGAUCUUCUCCUUUUUCUUCUUCUUCUUCUUCAUUUUCUUCUUCUUCUUCUUCAUUUUCUUCUUCUUCUUCUCUUUCGAUCUUCUCCUUUUUCUUCUUCUUCUUCUUCAUUUUCUUCUUCUU